GACGAACGCUGGCGGCGUGCCUAAUACAUGCAAGUCGAGCGCAGGAAGCUGACGGAACUCUUCGGAGGGAAGGCAGUGGAAUGAGCGGCGGACGGGUGAGUAACACGUAAGGAACCUGCCUCAAGGAUUGGGAUAACUCCGAGAAAUCGGAGCUAAUACCGGAUAGUUCAUCGGACCGCAUGGUCCGUUGAUGAAAGGCGCUUCGGCGUCACCUUGAGAUGGCCUUGCGGUGCAUUAGCUAGUUGGUGGGGUAACGGCCCACCAAGGCGACGAUGCAUAGCCGACAUGAGAGGGUGAUCGGCCACACUGGGACUGAGACACGGCCCAGACUCCUACGGGAGGCAGCAGUAGGGAAUCUUCCACAAUAGACGAAAGUCUGAUGGAGCAACGCCGCGUGAGUGAUGAAGGUUUUCGGAUCGUAAAACUCUGUUGUAAGGGAAGAACACGUACGGGAGGGAAUGCUCGUACCUUGACGGUACCUUACGAGAAAGCCACGGCUAACUACGUGCCAGCAGCCGCCGUAAAAC
rnacentral:rRNA from 1 species